ACUCAACUACAAGAAAUUG
rnacentral:tRNA from 1 species